rnacentral:rRNA from 1 species
AACGGAGGAUGAAAGCGUUAUCCGGAAUUAUUGGGCGUAAAGAGUCCGCAGUUGGCUAAUUAAGUCUGCUGUUAAAGUCUAGGGCUUAACUCUGGGAAGGCGGUGGAAACUGGAUAGCUUGAGUGCGACAGGGGUAGAGGGAAUUCCCAGUGUAGCGGUGAAAUGCGUAGAUAUUGGGAAGAACACCAGUGGCGAAGGCGCUCUACUGGGUCGCUACUGACACUCAUGGACGAAAGCUAGGGGAGCGAAAGGG